UACAUCUCCUCGAGCUGUGUGGUUCAGCAUUUCUCAGGGAGCCCUUCCCCAGGCGCAUCAUGUGCUCUCGGGAGCUACCUUCUCCUCUUGUCUCCAGAAUGCUGUUCUGGACUGCUCACCGCACCACAUUAGGUAGCCAGACUGCUGGGUGUGGCGGCUGGUAUGUGGUCCCACCGCUGGAGAGGAUGGGGCAGGAGGAUUCUGAAUUCCGAGGCAGACUAGUCUACUACCCAGGAUCUGAACACAAAAAGGAACAAUCAGAAACCCUUUCACCCUUCGACUCUGAGGUCAUGGAUGGAAGGCAGUGAACGUGACCCAGAAAGAGGAUCUCUAUUAGGCACAAAUCUACUGCUGCUUUGAUCUGGGACUUUCUAGAAACUGGGUUCUACAUGGGUUUUUCAAGUUCGCUCUUCUACAGACCCCCUGCGUCUCCUCCACCCACUGAGUGCUAGCAUCAAAGGUAUAGCCACGCUCUCAUCUCCACACUUUUCCUCAUUCUCUGAAGUGUCUCUUCACUUCUUCACUGGCCCUAAAGCAGACUUUCAUUUUGGUCCUUUUGGCCAAUGUGUUUUGGUCUCUGGCUUUACUGCAGCCUUUUCUAUUUUUCAGGGAUACCUGUGUCUGCAUAACGGAGGCUCUAGGGGGUUUUGCCAGGAGACUGAAUCUUGGGAAAUGCUUAAAUAAUUUUGAAAAACAAAAAGCAAUUUUCAGAGCUAUGACCUCCCCCUUAGUCUUCAGGGGAAUUUAUCCUCUAGGCUUCUUUUCUCAGUGUUUUCUCCCUCUGGGGUCUAGGUAGGGAGCUCCCAUUUUUUCUUGUAAUGUGUUGAUUGACUCGGGGAGAGCUAUCCAGGAUGGCAGCACUCUAGGAAGCUGCUUCCUUGGUCUCCUCUGCUUUUAAUCUAACCAAAUAGCGUUUUCUCUGGCAGAUCUAAUCUGAAGGUUAGGGUGGAACAUUGGACUUUUGUAUAUCUUUGCCCACUUGAAAUGGCUUUCACCAACUCUGCUGGUGCUCAAAUGAUUUUUGUGUUUCUGCUUCUCCUAGGAAGCAAGUUGGGGGUUCCUUGAAGAGAGUCAUAGAUGGAAGAGAAGGCCCAACUCAUGAUCACAGCUCUUCUCAGUCUCCUGGAAUACUAUCUUUGUUUUCUUUCUACCUUCUACUGAUGUAGAGAAAAAUGAAAGAGGAACUGACAAGGAGGGUGGGGAAAGUAAGGUUUCUGCUUCGUUUGCCUGUGUUUGAAGAGUCCAACUACUACAUUCUGUUGUUAGUAUGCAAAGGGGAAAUGACUCUCUCUCUCUCUCUCUCUCUCUCUCUCUCUCUCUCUCUCUGUAUGAUGAUAGA
rnacentral:sRNA from 1 species